UCUUCAAAUAGUUAGGUGAGGCUUCUAUGUAAACAUAAGCUACUGCCCAAAAAUGUCGAGAGACGCCAAUGGGUAGAACAGGGAUUGUCGAUAGCAAGGCUUUUCUUAAGGUAGCUAAGUGCAAACUUUACGUUGCAUAGUGCCAAAGCUCAAACGUGACGUAAGUCAA
rfam:Enterococcus hirae ATCC 9790, complete genome.